rnacentral:piRNA from 1 species
UAUGAGAGAUUCCUCAGGAGUGAG